GCCAUUCGUGAAAAUUCCACGACGGAUCGCAACGCCACCACCAUCAUCAUCAGGACCAUCGUCAUCAUCGUCACCACCACCACCACCAUCGCUACCAUCAUCAUCAUCACCACCACCAUCGCUACCAUCAUCAUCAUAAACGAGGUGCGAGGAGGCGUUGGACGACCCGGGGAAAGACCACGCGUCUCCUCCUGGACUGCUGAGCGGCGUGAGGCUGUUAAGGCGAAGCGGUGCUCAUAGGAAAAGCGAUCUCCCUGCACACAAGACGAACUACUUUUACCAUCACCACCAUCGCGAGCGUCACCCACCAUCAACCACCGCCACCACCAAAAAAUCCACGACCGCGGCCGAUGUGAUGUGACUUCCUUGGCGACGUCAAGACAGCGCAACGGUGGAUAGAGCAUCUCCCAUCGUCCCAAAUCGGGACCUACGUGGAGUAUGGUGUCAUAACGGAUCGCAGGAACAUCUCUGGAGCCCGUGGAAUUCAUUGAGGGUUGGAAUAGGAGGAGGGUGGGAGCAGAAAAUACGGUUGGAGCAGUCGGUGGAAGCAGUAGACAGGGUGGAAGCAGGGGCAGG